UUCGCUCUAACGGGGUGCCACGCCAGUGUGGCUGAGAGGCUUUGCCAACCCGCGGAACCUGAUCCGGUUAAGACCGGCGGAGGGAUUAGACGGCUUCCCAUC
rnacentral:ncRNA from 2 species